UACGUAGGGGGGCAAGCGUUGUCCGGAUUUAUUGGGCGUAAAGAGCGUGUAGGCGGCCUGACAGGUCUGCUGUGAAAACUCGAGGCUCAACCUCGAGAUGUCGGCGGAAACCGUCUGGCUAGAGUCCGGGAAGAGGAGAGUGGGAAUUCCUGGUGUAGCGGUGAAAUGCGCAGAUAUCAGGAAGAACACCUAUGGCGAAGGCAGCUCUCUGGGACGGUACUGACGCUGAGACGCGAAAGCGUGGGGAGCGAACAGG
rnacentral:rRNA from 1 species